CCAAUAUACUCUUACAGUGAAAUGGAUUUUUUUUUUAUAAACAUAUGUAUAUUAUUGCCAUCAUAUAGCAAUUUUUUUUGACUAAAUCUUCCAAUAAUAUGUAAUAAUCAUACGAUUCCACUAAACAAAUCAUCAUUUUUAAAAAAAUAAUGGAUAGACAGAGAAGAAAAAUCUUUUGUAGACUACUCACCAGUUGUUUCAUCAGAGAUGUGUGAAAUACCUCCU
rnacentral:lncRNA from 1 species